rnacentral:rRNA from 1 species
AGCAGCCGCGGUAAUUCCAGCUCCAAUAGCGUAUAUUAAAGUUGUUGCAGUUAAAAAGCUCGUAGUUGAAUUUUGGAUUCUGCCAGUUGGUCCAUCUUUUGAUGAGUACUGAUUGUGUGGGGUCUAUCCGCCUGGUGAUACGUAAUGUACUUUAUUGUAUGUUACGGGUAGUACAGGACCUUUACCUUGAAAAAUUAGAGUGUUUAAAGCAGGCUUAUGCCGGAAUACAUUAGCAUGGAAUAAUAGAAUAGGACGAUUGUUGUUUUAUUUUGUUGGUUUCUAGGACAACCGUAAUGAUUAAUAGGGAUAGUUGGGGGCAUUAGUAUUCAAUUGUCAGAGGUGAAAUUCUUGGAUUUAUUGAAGACUAACUACUGCGAAAGCAUUUUGCCAAGGAUGUUUUCAUUAAUCAAGAACGAAAGUUAGGGGAUCGAAGACGAUCAGAUACCGUCG